rnacentral:rRNA from 1 species
CCUACGGGGGUAGUAGUGGGGAAGAGUGGGCAAGGGAGGGAACGCGGACCCAGUAACGCCGCGGGAAGGAGGAAGGUCUUCGGAUUGUAAAGUUCUUUUCUAAGGGAAGAAGAAAGUGACGGUACCUUAGGAAUAAGCCUCGGCUAACUACGUGCCAGCAGCAGCGGUAAUACGUAGGAGGCAAGCGUUAUCCGGAAUGACUGGGCGUAAAGGGUGCGUAGGUGGUUUGACAAGUUAGUAGCGCAACUCCGGGGCUCAACUUCGGAACUACUACUAAAACUGUUGGACUUGAGUGCAGGAGGGGCAAUCGGAAUUCCUAGUGUAGCGGUGGAAUGCGUAGAUAUUAGGAGGAACACCAGUGGCGAAGGCGGAUUGCUAGACUGUAACUGACACUGAGGCACGAAAGCGUGGGGAGCAAACAGGAUUAGAUACCCCAGUAGUC